rnacentral:rRNA from 1 species
CCCCUAAGUAGGGGAUAACUCUGAGAAAUCGGAGCUAAUACCUUAUGUGGUCCUUCGCCGCAAGGUGAAGGACUAAAGCUUUCGGGCGCUUGGGGAGGGGCUUGCGUCCUAUCAGCUUGUUGGUAGGGUAACGGCUUACCAAGGCGACGACGGGUAGCUGGUCUGAGAGGACGGCCAGCCACACGGGGACUGAGACACGGUCCUGACUCCUACGGGAGGCAGCAGCAAGGAAUAUUGUGCAAUGGGCGAAAGCCUGACACAGCGACGCCGCGUGGAGGAUGAAAGCCUUCGGGUUGUAAACUCCUGUCAGAGGUGAAGAAAGCCCUUUGGGUCUGACGGUAACCUCAGAGGAAGCCCCGGCUAACUACGUGCCAGCAGCCGCGGUAAUACGUAGGGGGCAAACGUUGCUCGGAAUUACUGGGCGUAAAGGGUGUGUAGGUGGCUGAGCAAGUCAAGGAUGAAAUCCCGAGGCUCAACUUCGGAAUUGUCCUUGAAACUGUUCAGCUUGAGGAUAGCUGAGGAGGACGGAAUUCCCGGUGGAGCGGUGAAAUGCGUAGAUAUCGGGAGGAACACCAGAGGCGAAGGCGGUUCUCUAAGCUAUUCCUGACACUGAGACACGAAAGCUAGGGGAGCAAACGGGAUUAGAUACCCCGGUAGUCCUAGCCGUAAACGAUGGGCACUAGAUGUUUCCGCUUCUUGCGGGAGUGUCGAAGUUAACGCGUUAAGU